rnacentral:rRNA from 1 species
UGGGGAAUAUUGCACAAUGGGCGAAAGCCUGAUGCAGCGACGCCGCGUGAGGGAUGACGGCCUUCGGGUUGUAAACCUCUUUCAGCAGGGAAGAAGCGAAAGUGACGGUACCUGCAGAAGAAGCACCGGCUAACUACGUGCCAGCAGCCGCGGUAAUACGUAGGGUGCGAGCGUUGUCCGGAAUUAUUGGGCGUAAAGAGCUUGUAGGCGGUUUGUCGCGUCUGCCGUGAAAAUCCGAGGCUCAACCUCGGACUUGCGGUGGGUACGGGCAGACUAGAGUGUGGUAGGGGAGACUGGAAUUCCUGGUGUAGCGGUGAAAUGCGCAGAUAUCAGGAGGAACACCGAUGGCGAAGGCAGGUCUCGUGGGCCACUACUGACGCUGAGAAGCGAAAGCAUGGGGAGCGAAC